AAAGGCGCAGUGAAAGUGAAGGUCCGCCUCGCGCGGACCGAGGGAGGAUGGGCGGACGCGAGUGUCCGCCCCGCACUCCCGGGGCGUCUCGUUCUCAUCGCGAGAAGAGGCGCACCCAGAGCGUACACGCUGGGACCCGAAAGAUGGUGAACUAUGCCUGGUCAGGACGAAGUCAGGGGAAACCCUGAUGGAGGUCCGUAGCGAUUCUGACGUGCAAAUCGAUCGUCGGAACUGGGUAUAGGGGCGAAAGACUAAUCGAACCAUCUAGUAGCUGGUUCCCUCCGAAGUUUCCCUCAGGAUAGCUGGCGCUCGCUUCUGGCGAGUCUCAUUCGGUAAAGCGAAUGAUUAGAGGCAUUGGGGUCGAAACGGCCUCAACCUAUUCUCAAACUUUAAAUGGGUGAGAUCUCCGGCUUGCUUGAACAGUGAAGCCGCGAGAUAUCGGAUCAGAGUGCCAAGUGGGCCACUUUUGGUAAGCAGAACUGGCGCUGUGGGAUGAACCAAACGCUGAGUUAAAGCGCCUAAAUCGACGCUUAUGGGA
rnacentral:rRNA from 1 species